AGCGAACGCUGGCGGCAGGCUUAACACAUGCAAGUCGAGCGGGCAUAGCAAUAUGUCAGCGGCAGACGGGUGAGUAACGCGUGGGAACGUACCUUUUGGUUCGGAACAACACAGGGAAACGUGUGCUAAUACCGGAUAAGCCCUUACGGGGAAAGAUUUAUCGCCGAGAGGUGGGCCCGCGUCUGAGUAUCUAGUUGGUGAGGUAAUGGCUCACCAAGGCGACGAUCAGUAGCUGGUCUGAGAGGAUGAUCAGCCAGAUUGGGACUGAGACACGACCCAAACUCCUACGGGAGGCAGCAGUGGGGAAUAUUGGACAAUGGGCGCAAGCCUGAUCCAGCCAUGCCGCGUGAGUGAUGAAGGCCCUAGGGUUGUAAAGCUCUUUUGUGCGGGAAGAUAAUGACGGUACUGCAAGAAAAGCCCCGGCUAACUUCGUGCCAGCCGCCGCCGUAA
rnacentral:rRNA from 1 species